rnacentral:rRNA from 1 species
AGUGAACGCUGGCGGUAGGCCUAACACAUGCAAGUCGAACGGCAGCACAGUAAGAGCUUGCUCUUACGGGUGGCGAGUGGCGGACGGGUGAGGAAUACAUCGGAAUCUACUUUUUCGUGGGGGAUAACGUAGGGAAACUUACGCUAAUACCGCAUACGACCUACGGGUGAAAGCAGGGGAUCUUCGGACCUUGCGCGAUUGAAUGAGCCGAUGUCGGAUUAGCUAGUUGGCGGGGUAAAGGCCCACCAAGGCGACGAUCCGUAGCUGGUCUGAGAGGAUGAUCAGCCACACUGGAACUGAGACACGGUCCAGACUCCUACGGGAGGCAGCAGUGGGGAAUAUUGGACAAUGGGCGCAAGCCUGAUCCAGCCAUGCCGCGUGAGUGAUGAAGGCCUUCGGGUUGUAAAGCCCUUUUGUUGGGAAAGAAAAGCUGCAGGUUAGUCCCCCGCUGUUUUGACGGUACCCAAAGAAUAAGCACCGGCUAACUUCGUG